ACUGGAUUCGACGCGGGUCGCGAAACCCCAGGUGCAUGCCGAGGUGCAGUCCACCUCGUUAAUCAGGCUGCAAAAACUUAGCUGCGAACGACAACAGCUACGCACUGGCGGCUUAAGCCCCGCCAGCCCUUGACCGGAGCCGCGCCUGCGCGUCCGGGGGUCUUCAGACCCGUUCAGGGGUCGCAUCUCGCAGGAUCGCGGAGUCGGGAGUCCGGACCGAAGCCGCUAAACCCAACUCGGACUGGUCACGUGUUUUCCCUGCCCGUCGGGUAGCACGCGACAAGAUCAAUAGACCGGGAUAAGCAUGUAGAGCCGAAGGCGUAGGGCUUGCGGACGCGGGUUCGAUUGG
rnacentral:tmRNA from 1 species